rnacentral:rRNA from 1 species
GUGAUAUGAACCGUUAUAACCGGCGAUGUCCGAAUGGGGAAACCCAGUGCAAUUCGUUGCACUAUCGUUAACUGAAUACAUAGGUUAACGAGGCGAACCGGGGGAACUGAAACAUCUAAGUACCCCGAGGAAAAGAAAUCAACCGAGAUUCCCCCAGUAGCGGCGAGCGAACGGGGAGCAGCCCAGAGUCUGAAUCAGCUUGUGUGUUAGUGGAACGGUCUGGAAAGUCCGACGGUACAGGGUGAUAGUCCCGUACACCAAAAUGCACAGGCUGUGAACUCGAAGAGUAGGGCGGGACACGUGGUAUCCUGUCUGAAUAUGGGGGGACCAUCCUCCAAGGCUAAAUACUCCUGACUGACCGAUAGUGAACCAGUACCGUGAGGGAAAGGCGAAAAGAACCCCGGCGAGGGGAGUGAAAAAGAACCUGAAACCGUGUACGUACAAGCAGUGGGAGCACCUUCGGGUGUGACUGCGUACCUUUUGUAUAAUGGGUCAGCGACUUAUAUUCUGUAGCAAGGUUAACCGUAUAGGGGAGCCGCAGGGAAACCGAGUCUUAACUGGGCGUUAAGUUGCAGGGUAUAGACCCGAAACCCGGUGAUCUAGCCAUGGGCAGGUUGAAGGUUGGGUAACACUAACUGGAGGACCGAACCGACUAAUGUUGAAAAAUUAGCGGAUGACUUGUGGCUGGGGGUGAAAGGCCAAUCAAACCGGGAGAUAGCUGGUUCUCCCCGAAAGCUAUUUAGGUAGCGCCUCGUGAAUUCAUCUUCGGGGGUAGAGCACUGUUUCGGCUAGGGGGUCAUCCCGACUUACCAACCCGAUGCAAACUACGAAUACCGAAGAAUGUUAUCACGGGAGACACACGGCGGGUGCUAACGUCCGUCGUGAAGAGGGAAACAACCCAGACCGCCAGCUAAGGUCCCAAAGUCAUGGUUAAGUGGGAAACGAUGUGGGAAGGCACAGACAGCCAGGAUGUUGGCUUAGAAGCAGCCAUCAUUUAAAGAAAGCGUAAUAGCUCACUGGUCGAGUCGGCCUGCGCGGAAGAUGUAACGGGGCUAAACCAUGCACCGAAGCUGCGGCAGCGACACUAUGUGUUGUUGGGUAGGGGAGCGUUCUGUAAGCCUGCGAAGGUGUGCUGUGAGGCAUGCUGGAGGUAUCAGAAGUGCGAAUGCUGACAUAAGUAACGAUAAAGCGGGUGAAAAGCCCGCUCGCCGGAAGACCAAGGGUUCCUGUCCAACGUUAAUCGGGGCAGGGUGAGUCGACCCCUAAGGCGAGGCCGAAAGGCGUAGUCGAUGGGAAACAGGUUAAUAUUCCUGUACUUGGUGUUACUGCGAAGGGGGGACGGAGAAGGCUAUGUUAGCCGGGCGACGGUUGUCCCGGUUUAAGCAUGUAGGCUGGUUGUCCAGGCAAAUCCGGAUAAUCAAGGCUGAGGUGUGAUGACGAGGCACUACGGUGCUGAAGUAACAAAUGCCCUGCUUCCAGGAAAAGCCUCUAAGCAUCAGGUAACAUCAAAUCGUACCCCAAACCGACACAGGUGGUCAGGUAGAGAAUACCAAGGCGCUUGAGAGAACUCGGGUGAAGGAACUAGGCAAAAUGGUGCCGUAACUUCGGGAGAAGGCACGCUGGUGUGUAGGUGAAGUCCCUGCGGAUGGAGCUGAGACCAGUCGAAGAUACCAGCUGGCUGCAACUGUUUAUUAAAAACACAGCACUGUGCAAACACGAAAGUGGACGUAUACGGUGUGACGCCUGCCCGGUGCCGGAAGGUUAAUUGAUGGGGUUAUCCGUAAGGAGAAGCUCUUGAUCGAAGCCCCGGUAAACGGCGGCCGUAACUAUAACGGUCCUAAGGUAGCGAAAUUCCUUGUCGGGUAAGUUCCGACCUGCACGAAUGGCGUAAUGAUGGCCAGGCUGUCUCCACCCGAGACUCAGUGAAAUUGAACUCGCUGUGAAGAUGCAGUGUACCCGCGGCAAGACGGAAAGACCCCGUGAACCUUUACUAUAGCUUGACACUGAACAUUGAGCCUUGAUGUGUAGGAUAGGUGGGAGGCUUUGAAGCGUGGACGCCAGUCUGCGUGGAGCCAACCUUGAAAUACCACCCUUUAAUGUUUGAUGUUCUAACGUUGGCCCCUUACCGGGGUUGCGGACAGUGUCUGGUGGGUAGUUUGACUGGGGCGGUCUCCUCCCAAAGCGUAACGGAGGAGCACGAAGGUUAGCUAAUCCUGGUCGGACAUCAGGAGGUUAGUGCAAUGGCAUAAGCUAGCUUGACUGCGAGCGUGACGGCGCGAGCAGGUGCGAAAGCAGGUCAUAGUGAUCCGGUGGUUCUGAAUGGAAGGGCCAUCGCUCAACGGAUAAAAGGUACUCCGGGGAUAACAGGCUGAUACCGCCCAAGAGUUCAUAUCGACGGCGGUGUUUGGCACCUCGAUGUCGGCUCAUCACAUCCUGGGGCUGAAGUAGGUCCCAAGGGUAUGGCUGUUCGCCAUUUAAAGUGGUACGCGAGCUGGGUUUAGAACGUCGUGAGACAGUUCGGUCCCUAUCUGCCGUGGGCGCUGGAGAAUUGAGGGGGGCUGCUCCUAGUACGAGAGGACCGGAGUGGACGCAUCACUGGUGUUCGGGUUGUCAUGCCAAUGGCACUGCCCGGUAGCUAAAUGCGGAAGAGAUAAGUGCUGAAAGCAUCUAAGCACGAAACUUGCCCCGAGAUGAGUUCUCCCUGAGACUUUAAGUCUCCUGAAGGAACGUUGAAGACGACGACGUUGAUAGGCCGGGUGUGUAAGCGCAGCGAUGCGUUGAGCUAACCGGUACUAAUGAACCGUGAGGCUUAACCUU